rnacentral:rRNA from 1 species
UCCUACGGGAGGCAGCAGUGGGGAAUAUUGGACAAUGGGCGAAAGCCUGAUCCAGCCAUGCCGCGUGUGUGAAGAAGGUCUUCGGAUUGUAAAGCACUUUAAGUUGGGAGGAAGGGCAGUUACCUAAUACGUGAUUGUUUUGACGUUACCGACAGAAUAAGCACCGGCUAACUCUGUGCCAGCAGCCGCGGUAA